rnacentral:rRNA from 1 species
GACGAACGCUGGCGGCGUGCUUAACACAUGCAAGUCGAGCGGUAAGGCCCUUUCGGGGGUACGACGAGCGGCGAACGGGUGAGUAACACGUGGGUGAUCUGCCCUUAGCUCUGGGAGUAAGCCUGGGAAACGUAGGGUCUAAUACCGGAUAUGACUCCAUGACGCAUGUUGUGGGGUGGAAAGCCUUGUGCGGCUAGGGAUGGGCCCGCGGCCUAUCAGCUUGUUGGUGGGGUGAUGGCCACCAAGGCGACGACGGGUAGCCGGCCUGAGAGGGCGACCGGCCAC